rnacentral:rRNA from 1 species
AACGAACGCUGGCGGCAUGCCUAACACAUGCAAGUCGAACGAGACCUUCGGGUCUAGUGGCGCACGGGUGCGUAACGCGUGGGAACCUGCCUUUAGGCUCGGAAUAACUCAGAGAAAUUUGAGCUAAUACCGGAUAAUGUCUUCGGACCAAAGAUUUAUCGCCUUUAGAUGGGCCCGCGUUGGAUUAGCUAGGUGGUGGGGUAAAGGCCUACCAAGGCGACGAUCCAUAGCUGGUCUGAGAGGAUGAUCAGCCACACUGGGACUGAGACACGGCCCAGACUCCUACGGGAGGCAGCAGUGGGGAAUAUUGGACAAUGGGCGAAAGCCUGAUCCAGCAAUGCCGCGUGAGUGAUGAAGGCCUUAGGGUUGUAAAGCUCUUUUACCCGAGAUGAUAAUGACAGUAUCGGGAGAAUAAGCUCCGGCUAACUCCGUGCCAGCCGCCGCCGUAA